CACCAGAGGUAGAGCAUAUACCAGAAAUAGAAAUUAAUAUGCUGACUGUUCCACAUGUUCCCAAGGUUUCACAAGAAAGCAGUGUAGAUGAGGUAAAAGAGAAUACUGAGAAAAUGCAGCAAGGAAAAGAUGAUGUGUCUUUACUAUCUGAAGGUCAGCUUGCAGAACAAAGCUUGGCAUCUUCUGAAGAUGAAACAGAAAUAACAGAGGACUUGGAACCAGAAGUUGAAGAGGACAUGUCAGCUUCUGACAGUGAUGACUGUAUUAUUCCAGGUCCUAUCUCCAAGAAUAUCAAACAGACCAGGCACAGUGCUUCACACCUGAAAUCCCAACACUCUGGGAAGCCAAGGCAGGAGGAUCAUGUGAGCACAGGAGUUCAAGGCUGCAGUGAGCUAUGACUGCACCACUGCACUGCAGUCUGGGUGACAGAGUGAGAUUCUGUCUCUCAAAAAAUAAAGAAAUAAAGCAAAACAAUAGAACAG
rnacentral:sRNA from 1 species